rnacentral:rRNA from 1 species
GAUGAACGCUGGCGGCGUGCUUAACACACGCAAGUCGAACGAAGCAUUUGCGACAGAUUUUUUCGGAAUGAAGUUGCUUAUGACUGAGUGGCGGACGGGUGAGUAACGCGUGGGUAACCUGCCUUGUACUGGGGGAUAGCAGCUGGAAACGGCUGGUAAUACCGCAUAAGCGCACAAUGUUGCAUGACAUGGUGUGAAAAACUCCGGUGGUAUAAGAUGGACCCGCGUCUGAUUAGCUAGUUGGUGAGAUAACAGCCCACCAAGGCGACGAUCAGUAGCCGACAUGAGAGGGUGACCGGCCACAUUGGGACUGAGACACGGCCCAGACUCCUACGGGAGGCAGCAGUGGGGAAUAUUGCACAAUGGAGGGAACUCUGAUGCAGCGACGCCGCGUGAGUGAAGAAGUAAUUCGUUAUGUAAAGCUCUAUCAGCAGGGAAGAUAGUGACGGUACCUGACUAAGAAGCUCCGGCUAAAUACGUG